rnacentral:sRNA from 1 species
CAUAAGGAUCUUGUCUAAGAUGACUUAUUUCAGAAAAAACUUGGGCUCAGAUUAUUGUACACUUCAUCAACUUCUCAGCAUGUUGGAUAAUGAAUGUUUCAUUUGCAUUGCUAAUUGACAAGCCAUGGUUCCUUCAACCUCUAACCCUUAAGAUUUAUCACAUAAUCACCAUAUGUCAAUAUAAUUGCACUUUCCAGAUUUAAACAAAAAAGAAAGCUUGCAAAGGAACUUAUUAAUGUAAAAAAUUAAU